rnacentral:rRNA from 1 species
UAGGGAAUCUUCGGCAAUGGGGGCAACCCUGACCGAGCAACGCCGCGUGAGUGAAGAAGGUUUUCGGAUCGUAAAGCUCUGUUGUAAGUCAAGAACGAGUGUGAGAGUGGAAAGUUCACACUGUGACGGUAGCUUACCAGAAAGGGACGGCUAACUACGUGCCAGCAGCCGCGGUAAUACGUAGGUCCCGAGCGUUGUCCGGAUUUAUUGGGCGUAAAGCGAGCGCAGGCGGUUUGAUAAGUCUGAAGUUAAAGGCUGUGGCUCAACCAUAGUUCGCUUUGGAAUUUUCCAAACUUGAGUGCAGAAGGGGAGAGUGGAAUUCCAUGUGUAGCGGUGAAAUGCGUAGAUAUAUGGAGGAACACCGGUGGCGAAAGCGGCUCUCUGGUCUGUAACUGACGCUGAGGCUCGAAAGCGUGGGGAGCGAACAGGAUUAGAUACCCUGGUAGUCCACGCCGUAAACGAUGAGUGCUAGGUGUUGGAUCCUUUCCGGGAUUCAGUGCCGCAGCUAACGCAUUAAGCACUCCGCCUGGGGAGUACGACCGCAAGGUUG